rnacentral:rRNA from 1 species
AGCAAUCGAAGCAGUGAACUUAAGCCCCAGUAAACGGCGGCCGUAACUAUAACGGUCCUAAGGUAGCGAAAUUCCUUGUCGGGUAAGUUCCGACCCGCACGAAAGGCGUAACGAUUUGGGCACUGUCCCAACAACAGACUCGGUGAAAUUGUAAUUCCGGUGAAGAUGCCGGAUACCUGCGACAGGACGGAAAGACCCCAUGGAGCUUUACUGUAGCUUGACAUUGGGUCUUGGUACUACAUGUACAGGAUAGGUGGGAGGCUUUGAAACCAGGACGCCAGUUUUGGCGGAGCCAUCCUUGGGAUACCACCCUUGUAG